UGUCCACUCAUUCGUUCAGUUGACGUGCCAAGUUAUACAUGGGAAAGAAAAAACAAACAAACGGUAAAAUACAUUUUCACAUUCAGAAUGUUCUAAUAACUUCCCAGAGGAUAUAUGGACUUACUACAGGGUGUAGUAACUUCUUAGAGGACAGAUGGACUUACUACAGGUUGUAGUAACUUCCCAGAGGAUAGACGGACUUCAUACAGAUGCGAUCAUUACAGUAUUUUUAACAAUAUGAGUACAAUAAUGAAUUAUUUUAGAAAAUAAUAAAUAGUUGUGCUUUUCCACCUCCACCCACAUAUUUAUUGUGCUAGUGUCUUCUUUUUCCCUGUGAAUUUAUACUCUGCCUGUUAUUUAGCUUUUUGUCUGUUCCUGCUACUUGUUCAGGGAGUUUUGUAUGUUCCUUGUGUGUCUCUUAAAUUAAGGCUUUUUUCAUCUGGUUUUCUGCCUCCCUGCCUGUUGCGACCAAUGCUACUUUACGUUUUUCUUGCCCUGAUUUAAUGAAUUUGCCCUCUGAUUGGACUUUCACUAUAAAUUCAGUUCUGUUCUCCCUGCUCUACCCAUGAAUGGCUGGGCAGUGAGAGCCUAGAAAAGAAGCAUACAAUGAAAUUAUUACUUCAAAUGAAAGUAAAAUUGAUACACUUGAUGCAAAUGGUCCUGACUGAAACAACCAUCGAUUAAAACCAUUGUAUCCCUUAAAUUAUCCAAUGUCACUCAAAGCCAAUUAAUUAGCAACAACUUAUUCAGUUAUUUACUGAAAUAAAAUGAAAAACACUGCAAAUUGACUUGCCUGUCACAUUCUUUAAAGAACAUCCCAAAUUAAUUUAAAAUAGUCUUACAGAAGGAAUAAAAAUAUAGCAUAAUAGCAAUAAACUUUUUUGGUGGAAUAUUUGUUAUGAAUUUGUUAUAAAUUUUGUUAAUGGAAAUGUAGUGAAUAUACCUAAGUUUAGAAAACAAUUUAUGACAGCAUUAACAUAACAACUUGGGGAUCAUUAUAAAAGAAUUUUUGAAAAAAUAAAUACCACAGAUGUCCUACUUAUUUGUUACUGGGAAUUAUCACAGUAAUAUUAUUGUCAUGUUUUAAGGUGUUUUAAACAUUUUCCACCAUAUUUAUUAGUCCUGUCUCUUCAUUGGUCUAUGUUUAUGAGUCUUGUUAUCAGUUCUCUUUAUCAUUGGUUCUUGUUUCAUUGCCUUGUUAUCAUGUUCAUUAGUUUAGUCUCGUCAUUGGUUGUCUCUGUCAUGUGGUUACCCAUGUUCAUGUAUUUAAGCCCUCAUAUUUGCCAUUGUCUUUUUUCAAGUAUUGUUUUGGUGUAACGUUGUCAAGUCAAGUAAUUUAUGUUUGUUUCGUAUUGGAUUUCACGUUGUUAAUAAAUACUGCACUUGGGUUCACUCGUCAU